UACGUAGGGGGCAAGCGUUGUCCGGAUUUACUGGGCGUAAAGAGCGUGUAGGCGGCCAAGCAGGUCCGUUGUGAAAACUGGAGGCUUAACCUCCAGACGUCGACGGAAACCGCGUGGCUAGAGUCCGGAAGAGGAGAGUGGAAUUCCUGGUGUAGCGGUGAAAUGCGCAGAUAUCAGGAAGAACACCCAUGGCGAAGGCAGCUCUCUGGGACGGUACUGACGCUGAGACGCGAAAGCGUGGGGAGCGAACAGG
rnacentral:rRNA from 1 species